GGGCCGGUCGUCUAGUGGGAGGAUAACCCCUUUUACUCAAACCGCCCUUGCACGGCGGAGGUCCCGGGUUCGAAUCCCGGCCGGUCCACCA
rnacentral:tRNA from 1 species